ensembl:lncRNA
CCCGCCUCCGCCUCCCCCCGCGGGGCUGCCCGCGGCGCCGCCUGGGAGCCGCUCCCGGCUGCUUUCGCUCGUUGUCCGGCGCUCCCGGCCGGAAUGCCGCGGUUUUCCCUUCAGCGCCGCGCACAGUUCCGCGCAGGGCCACCUUCCCUCCGCGGGUCCCAAGCAGGGCGGCGGCAGCUGGCAUUGCCCGGGCAGUGCCCAGGGGUGAAUGGGACCGACUGUGUGGGCACACCAACUUCAAGGGUUUUCAGAACUUCGGCGGAGGACACAGUCCUCCAGCUAGGAACUGCUGCAGACCUGACAGGUGUAUGGGAGGCUCGCAAGCAGCUGCUGUGGGUCAGCCUUCAUGGAAGAUUAUAGCUGGAAGCUGUGCAACCAGGGCUCGACCAGCAAUAGUGAAGUCCUCACAGCUCCAAUUUUGCUCAGAGCAGACAGAAAAUGGGCACGUGGAGGACAGACCGCAGUGAUCCCCUGUCUUGGUAGGUAGUGCUGUUCGUGUUGGCAUCGUGGAUAUAUUUAGUAAACUGUCAUCUGUUAUAAUUGGUGUGGGGCAGCUCUGAUGUUUUGAUAAGCACUGACUGGGAGCAUCACACGGAGUCUUUAAAUUGCUCCUUCAUUUACACACCCGUCUAUUUUGAAAGCAGCUUUAGGGGCUGUGUCCUCUCC